UACCUUCUAGGUGACCAGUCUUUGGCUUUGACAGGCAAAAUGUGCAUCAGAUACCCUUCAGAGCUAAGGUAUUCCAAUGUGGCACAGAGAAGGAUAUCACUUGCUGAGUUAUGGAGGUUUCACCAUUGUGGUGGUAGUUUGUGUCUUGGACAUUUUAUCUGUGUGCAAUCAGAGAAAAAAAAAACUCUCUAAAUUGGACUGCAAGUCUACAUCUGCCAAGAACUUCUGCUCUUUUGUGAAUCCUGCUGCAAACGAUGACUCCUGUGGAUCAGAGUCUGGGGAACUGACAUUGGGAUACUCUGGCCAGGCUGUCUGUGCUUGACUGCAGGCCACAAGGAGCAGCGAGGGACAAUGGCACAAGUCUGGACAGAGUCAUAAUCCCACUACAGGCUGUCCUAGAGGUAACUUUCAUCUUCAUAACAUGAAUCUUAUUAUUUCAAAGAAGUUCAAGAUGAUACAAGCAUGUUUGUCAUGGAAUUUUGCUCCAUGUCAUGAAAAGAAAACUUUUUUUUUGUUCUGUGUGUGGAUAUUGA
rnacentral:lncRNA from 1 species